rnacentral:rRNA from 1 species
UACUAUAGCUUGACACUGAACAUUGAGCCUUGAUGUGUAGGAUAGGUGGGAGGCUUUGAAGUGUGGACGCCAGUCUGCAUGGAGCCGACCUUGAAAUACCACCCUUUAAUGUUUGAUGUUCUAACGUGGACCCGUAAUCCGGGUUGCGGACAGUGUCUGGUGGGUAGUUUGACUGGGGCGGUCUCCUCCUAAAGAGUAACGGAGGAGCACGAAGGUUGGCUAAUCCUGGUCGGACAUCAGGAGGUUAGUGCAAUGGCAUAAGCCAGCUUGACUGCGAGCGUGACGGCGCGAGCAGGUGCGAAAGCAGGUCAUAGUGAUCCGGUGGUUCUGAAUGGAAGGGCCAUCGCUCAACGGAUAAAAGGUACUCCGGGGAUAACAGGCUGAUACCGCCCAAGAGUUCAUAUCGACGGCGGUGUUUGGCACCUCGAUGUCGGCUCAUCACAUCCUGGGGCUGAAGUAGGUCCCAAGGGUAUGGCUGUUCGCCAUUUAAAGUGGUACGCGAGCUGGGUUUAGAACGUCGUGAGACAGUUCGGUCCCUAUCUGCCGUGGGCGCUGGAGAACUGAGGGGGGCUGCUCCUAGUACGAGAGGACCGGAGUGGACGCAUCACUGGUGUUCGGGUUGUCAUGCCAAUGGCACUGCCCGGUAGCUAAAUGCGGAAGAGAUAAGUGCUGAAAGCAUCUAAGCACGAAACUUGCCCCGAGAUGAGUUCUCCCUGAGACUUAGAGUCUC